rnacentral:rRNA from 1 species
GCUGCGGGCUCCGGACUUUGACAAUCCCCGAGUGCGAUCCCAGGUCAGGCGGGGCUACCCGCUGAGUUUAAGCAUAUCAAUAAGCGGAGGAAAAGAAACUAACGAGGAUUCCCUUAGUAGCGGCGAGCGAAUCGGGAAGAGCCCAGCAUGAAAAUCGUCCGUCGUCGGCGGCCGAAUUGUAGUCUGGAGAAGCGUCCUCAGUGACGGACCGGACCCAAGUUCACAGGAAGGUGGCGCCGGAGAGGGUGAGAGCCCC